GACGAACGCUGGCGGCGUGCCUAAUACAUGCAAGUAGAACGCACAGUUUAUACCGUAGCUACACCAUAGACUGUGAGUUGCGAACGGGUGAGUAACGCGUAGGUAACCUGCCUGGUAGCGGGGGAUAACUAUUGGAAACGAUAGCUAAUACCGCAUAAUAUUAAUUAUUGCAUGAUAAUUAAUUGAAAGGUGCAAUUGCACCACUACCAGAUGGACCUGCGUUGUAUUAGCUAGUAGGUGAGGUAACGGCUCACCUAGGCGACGAUACAUAGCCGACCUGAGAGGGUGAUCGGCCACACUGGGACUGGGACACGGCCCAGACUCCUACGGGAGGCAGCAGUAGGGAAUCUUCGGCAAUGGACGAAAGUCUGACCGAGCAACGCCGCGUGAGUGAAGAAGGUUUUCGGAUCGUAAAGCUCUGUUGUAAGAGAAGAACGGGGGUGAGAGUGGAAAGUUCACACUGUGACGGUAUCUUACCAGAAAGGGACGGCUAACUACGUG
rnacentral:rRNA from 1 species